rnacentral:lncRNA from 1 species
GAAAGCCCACAGGACAGCUCCCGGCUGCACUGCAAGCCUCUGUCCCACCAUCCCCAGCUCACAGCAAAGCUGACACCUGAAGCAGAAGCUGCUCCCCAAAAGCAGCACCCCAAAAGAUGCUGGGGCAGGCGCCAUGGGCAAGGCUGUCUCCUUCUGGCCCUGCCGUCCUGCUGCUGGCCCUCUGUGGCAGCAUGAGCUCCCAGGACAUCUGCAGCUUCCCAGGUACCACAGUUGUGCUCCAGUGUAUUCUCCAUGUGGUGUCACCUGUAAGACAAAUCAUUUUCUGCAAGGAUGGGAAGGAGGUGUACAGUCUGAAAGCCCAGCAAGGGCAGCUGAGCUAUGCUGUGGUCCUGAACAUCACAUCAAGAAGUGCAGGAAGAUAUACAUGUGGGUACCAGCAGAGGAAUGAGAUGAAACACAUGAGGAGCUCUGCCCUCAGUGCUGGCCGCAUCCUGGAUGUCCCUGGCAAUGUGGUGAGUUCCCCAGCAAGUCCACCACCCCCAGGUGAGUGAUUCCCUCCUGCACCUCCUGUACCCCCAGGCAGCAGCCCCUCACACAAGGCCCAUCUCCCUUCCAGAGGUG